rnacentral:rRNA from 1 species
CAGUCGCCGCGGGAAUACGGAGGGUGCAAGCGUUAAUCGGAAUUACUGGGCGUAAAGCGUGCGUAGGCGGUUCGUUAAGUCUGUUGUGAAAGCCCCGGGCUCAACCUGGGAAUGGCAAUGGAUACUGGCGAGCUAGAGUGUGUCAGAGGAUGGUGGAAUUCCCGGUGUAGCGGUGAAAUGCGUAGAGAUCGAGAGGAACAUCAGUGGCGAAGGCGGCCAUCUGGGACAACACUGACGCUGAGGCACGAAAGCGUGGGGAGCAAACAGGAUUAGAUACCCCAGUAGUCCCUGUCUCUUAUAC